rnacentral:tRNA from 1 species
GGGCCGGUAGCUCAGUUGGGAGAGCGCAGCUUUCGCACGGCUGAGGUCACGGGUUCAAGUCCCGUCCGGUCCACCA